UUGCCCAGACUGGUCUCAAACUCCUGGGCUCCCGAAGUUGUUAGGAUUACAGGAGUGAGCCACCGUGCCUGGACUUUUCCUACCAUUUCAAUGGCUGAAUGUUUUUAAGGGUUCUCUAGACUUCAAAAAUGAAGAGACUGACUUACCUUUCAUGUUCAUUACUGGAUAAGGGUAAAGCACAGACCUUACUUUCAGUCAUUCAUACAGGAAUGAAUGCCAAGACAUCUACCGUGAGUCCAGGUCAUUAUAAGAGUCACUCCCUUUUCAAGGGAGAUUUGUAAUAAUCACUUUAUCUCCAUUCCAUGGUACAGGCUGAUGAGUAGGAAAUCACUGUGACCCAUCCAUGGGAGGAGAAUUACUGGCUGGCAAACACCUUUGAAACUGUUGUAGGGAAUCAAGUGCAGGUCAUAAAAUUGAAAAUCAUUGUCUCUUUUAAAUCCUUAAUCUUUCUCUAAAGUAGGUGGGAUCCAUUUCACUAUCAUUUCUAAAGAAAAACAUGUAAUAAAGGGAAUAUUGCUUUCUGGUAUCUGAUUUUAAAUGCAUCCAUUGUUUAAAAAAAAAGACAUUAAUCUCCUCAAAGGACAGAGAAAAUUUAUAAUCUACAAAUAUGACACUGAAAACCAAAUUAAACUUCAACAGGAACAGCUUUUGUAAUUUAGUCUGCACGAGUUAGGAAGUGAGUUUUCAGAGGAGAGAGAGAACAAUCAGCCACUUUCCUCCUGGAGACCAAAAAUGUGUGAGAAAUUAUGCUGCAAAUUGCAGUGCCUGAGGCUGAAAAAUAGCAGAAAUAACCACUGUAGCCCAAGAAAAUAGUUAAUCAGCUUCUUUUUAGGAAAGCAGGCAUACAUUGUGUGGUUUAUCAUGGCCUAGGAUUGGCCUUCUAAGAUAAGACAUGUAACAUUAAAGCUUUUGUUUUUUGUUGAACUUUAGUCAGCAAGAAACUAUGGUGUUCUAUAUAUAGACGAGGGCACUGAGCCUUCCUGAAUAGAAAACGUAUUUUGAGUUUUUUUUUUUCCAACAGUGGUAAUGGAUUUAAAUUAAUUUGUUCACAGCCUCUGUCCUUUCAGGGACCAAUGAAUGACCCACAUUUCUGAAAUACUGUCUGGGAUUGGGAUGUGAUGAACAAAACCAUAAGACACACAGAGUCUGACCAACAGCCCAUCCCUCCCAGCAUUCUCUAUUUCUGAUGGAGAAACCGGCGGUGGCUUUUCUAUUUGACUUUGUCCCUAGACGCUGGUGGGUGUUCUAGCAUGCUUGGUUGAGCAUGGGUACUAAAAAGGCAGGACACAGAGUCAGCAGGACUGCGCAAGUCCCAGUUGGACCAUUCGCUAACCUAGUCUCUUGGUCUUUGGCUCCUCAUCAGUUAAAUGGAGAAACCUAGGUGCCCACCUCACAGGCAAUUGCGAAAUUAGAAGGCAAUGCUGGUGCAGUGUGCUUCCUGGACAUCAACGCUGAGAGCUGCUGUUUUAACUAGGAGUGCAUGUCAACACCAACAAUUUAUCAUAAAUUAGUCAUUAUAGAUAUUACCCGCUAAUUUAUUAAAAUAUUUCCUUUAGUAUUUUAAUAGUUUUGAUUCACAAAACUUUCUGGACAACGGUUUCUAAGAUCAAAUAAUCAAUAUUUGUGCACUGGAAAAGGGCAGGAUUUCUAUUGAAGGAAACAAACAAACAAAAAAAUCAAAAGCAGAUUCACUUUCUUUUGAAAACACACUUCCUUUUUUGUUUUCAUCUUCUUAGCCUUAAAAAGGUGUUAAUGGUUUGUACGGUCUCAUUUUAACUUUCCUUAAACAAUUAACUUAGGAAAUUGGUUAGACAGUUUCCUUGCCAACCUUAUAGGGAAGGACAGGUCUUGCUCAUAAUGACAUUACUUUGCACUAAAACCACAUCUGUACCUUGGAAUAGCAGUUAAAUCUGAAAAACAACAUGUACGUGUAGCCAAUUAAAGAUGAUAAAUAUAGGCUUUAAAAGCAAAUAACUGACCUAAAGUAAGAGAUUGACAGUGCUGGCUUCCAAGGGGCAAGGACAAAUGUCUAACUGGAAUUGUGUGAGAUGUUGAAGAGAUGAUCAUCACUAUAAGAAGAGAAUCUUUCCCUGGAAACAUAUUUCAUUUAACAAUGUAGGCCAUUUGUUAUGUCAUGAAGAAACACGGAACUUCACAGCAACACUACUUCACAAGCAAAUAACACCUAGGUAUUCAGAGUUUCAUUCUUGCUGAGGCACUGAUUCACAUCUGUGUAUUAUCAGGGAACACCCUAAUUAGCAGGUGAAACAUUACAGACACAAGCCAAUACAAUAAUUAUGUUAGACUGUUAAGGCUAAAAGAAACCCUAGGGAUCAUCUAGUUUAGCAGCCAGAAUUAUUCUUUAGAAUUUCCUGUGACCUUUGAGGCAACAUGAAGAAAAGUAAUUGUCACCAUGAAAUGUAUUUAUCCAAGGAUUAUAAAUUGUAUUACACUCUUUGAAAGGCCUAAAAAUAAUCAUGGGAUAAUAGAAUUCUAGAGCUUGGAGGGAUUUCGGGGUCUACUGAUUUCAAUUUCUUCUGUCUAAUGUAAAAACGAUUCCUUUUUCAAUAUUCUUGACAAUCUCCAGCUAAUAUGUAAAUGCAAAAAGGGGAAAUUAUAAGAAAUAAUAAACUAUUUGUAUGAACUUAUCAAUGUCAUUAUGUUAAAGGAAAGAUUGCUUUGUCAUUCUGUGCCUAUUACAAUGCUUGGCAUGCAGUGAUCAAUGGGUGUUGCUAAGAGUUCAAGACGAUUCUGGAACUUUCCUGCAUCUAGUUGACCAUCCAGAUUGGACUGGCUUAUCCAUGCUAACACAGAUGUACAUCAAAUAUGCCAGCAGAGGGGAAAGCACGAACACAGUCCCCCACUACCACAAAUUAUGCAGUCAAGUUUCCCACAUUUGGGAAAGUCACAGGGGUCAGCACAUACAGAGUGCAAUGAAUAAGCCUGCCUGGGAAAACGACCUUUGUGAUCAUGUAUCUCCACUGCCAGAUAAAGAUGAGGAACAGCCACACACAGAGGGAAGACCACGUGA